ACAAGCUAGAACCGCCAUAUACACUUGAAACAAAUAGCCAAACCGAAAACUGUAGACAAAAAUGCUUUCUGCUACUAAGAUCAGUGAAAUGUAGACUAAACUGACAACGGAAUAAAGAGCAGGAAUCUCAACUAGCAAGUCGCAGCAAUGAAGAACGCCAAGGGGGAGACGCCAAUUCUGGCAGGGGGAGAUUUUCGAUACAACACCGGAACUGAUUGAAUCGGCCGGGAAUCAGGUGUCCUACUCAGCCCGGAGUCAAAACGAAUGACUGCCCAUUUCUGUCUACCGGACUUUGCCGGCAUUUUACCAGAAUCCACCCAAUGUAGUUUUAAAUAAAUGUACACAAAAUUACCCGAUUUAGACAUUUUAAAUAUUACACUUCCACACAUUUAAAAAAAAAUAUUGUAUUUAUUUUUUACCCCAUUUUCGUCAUAUCCAAUUAUCUUGUCCCAUCACUGCAACUCCUGUACGGUCUCAGGAGAGGAGAAGGUCGAACAGUCACCUGGUGACUGUGUCAGCAUCCGCCUGGCCCACCACAGGAGUCGCUACGGUGCGACUGGACAUGGACACCCCGGCCGGCCACACCCUCCUCUAACCGGGACAACGGUGGGCCAAUUGUGCGUUGCCUCAUCAGUCUCCUUGUCGCGGCCGGCACGGGUGUCGAACCAGCAUCUGUAGCAACGCAGUGUCUUAGACUGCUGCGCCACUCGGGAUGCCCAAUCUGCAACAUUUUUAAUAAUUAUCAAUUGCCUUGCACACAGUAUCAAAAUAAUAAAAUACUACUUAAACCUCUUAAAGAAUUAAAAUUACAUUUUAAUUAUGUUUUGGGAUCACAGAAACAAUGAGAAAAUAUGGAAAAAUAAAUAAAUAAUUAAAUGUUAAUUAUAUAAAGCAGCCCGUGUAAUCAUCUGCCAGAGAGUAGCCACAAUCGGCCAGAGCCCCAAGUAAUACAUUUGGGCCAGAUAACUCACACCGGAAUCAUCCCGAGCUCAAUCCCCACAUCCUAGCCAUAAGUAAUACUGCAGAAGGCGGCCCAGGCGUAAGCCGAGUCUGACUCUCAGCCCGAGUGCCCCGACUCGCAGCCGGAAUUGGCCCAGAUCCACUGUGCUCGCUGGGAUGUGACACAGAGACAAGCCAGCCAUCUCCUGCACAACAAGUUCGUGGUCAUCCUCAGGGGGAGUUAUCGUUUGAACAGGACAGUCUGGUUGAGGGGUGCCGCGAGGUGCGUCAGUUCCGCUCGGACCUCCACCCGGUGAGGUUCUACUUCCUGACGCGUCUCUACUCGUCCUAUAUGAAGAACAUCCUAGCUGACUUCCGCACCGGCCUCAAACCUGACUUCCUGAUUUGUCGACUCCUGUAUCUGGGACGUCUCCAGGUAUGGUCGAAAAGGGGGUUUCCACAAUACAGAGAGAACCUCCGUAAAUGAUUUGAACAGAUCAAAGCCGGCAUGCUUCCAGAAUGUCUCACAGUGUGGAACCUGGUCAUGCCACUGGGCAAGAAGAUCACAUUGGUGGCUUUCAGGUUCCUGAGAUCGCACACAUGGGCCUGAUGAUGCUGCGCAAAGAUGUGAUCGGCGCUAACCUUCUACAGCAGCAGGUUAGCGGACUCCUACGCGCUGGACUUGUGGUUCCGCCAAAGGCUGCAGGCUAUGUGUACUGUAGUCUGGUGGUGUGUACUGUAGUCUGGUGGUGUGUACUGUAGUCUGGUGGUGUGUACUGUAGUCUGGUGGUGUGUACUGUAGUCUGGUGGUGUGUACUGUAGUCUGGUGGUGUGUACUGUAGUCCGGUGGUGUGUACUGUAGUCUGGUGAUGUGUACUGUAGUCUGGUGAGGAUGAUGGUGAUGUGUACUGUAGUCUGGUGAUGAUGAUGGUGAUGUGUACUGUAGUCUGGUGAGGAUGAUGUGUACUGUAGCCUGGGGAUGGUGGUGAUGUGUACUGUAGUCUGGGGAUGGUGGUGAUGUGUACUGUAGUCUGGUGAGAGUGAUGUGUACUGCAGUCUGGGGAUGGUUGUGAUGUGUACUGUAGCCUGGUGGGGAUGGUGGUGAUGUGUACUGUAGCCUGGUGAUGAUGAUGGUGGUGAUGUGUACUGUAGUCUGGUGAGAGUGAUGUGUACUGUAGCCUGGUGAGGAUGAUGGUGAUGUGUACUGUAGUCUGGUGAGGAUGGUGGUGAUGUGUACUGUAGUCUGGUGAGAGUGAUGUGUACUGUAGUCUGGUGAGGAUGGUGGUGAUGUGUACUGUAGUCUGGUGAUGAUGAUGAUGAUGAUGAUGAUGUGUACUGUAGUCUGGUGAUGAUGAUGUGUACUGUAGUCUGGUGAUGAUGAUGAUGAUGAUGUGUACUGUAGUCUGGUGAUGAUGGUGAUGUGUACUGUAGUCUGGUUAUGAUGGUGAUGUGUAUUGUAGGAAUGAUCCUUUGUCUACACAGAGACAUUUUUCCUGCCGAAACUCUUAACACGUUCUACAAGCGAAUACUGGAACGAUAUUUCUGACAUAAGAACGUGAGGAAUGGUCAGAGGCGAGCUAAAGAAUAAUCAUGUCAUAUGGGUUGUUAUUUUGUGAUGUCAUUAAAAGUGUUAUAAAGGAACUAAUGUAACUUGGAAAGUAUACCCACUACAUGUACGAGGUCUUCAUUCUUUACGUUGUGCAUGAAAUAUGAACAAUUAUGAAAGUAUUUUUGUUAAGAUAGGAAUGUGAUUUUAGGAGCCAUGAGAUCAUUUGUCUCCUAUAAACUUUGCACAGUAAGUAGCCACGCCCCAAGUGAGGUCAGAGAUGUGUGUCAGCCUGAGGGAACUGUUCCUUUCGACCAGAAUGCAUAAAAGGAUUGGUAAAGAAAUUAACAUUGACACCAGAACAUCGCCAGGCUGCAGAUGCGCCUGUAAAGUGGUUUGAACCCUGAAUACCAACACGAGGUGGAGAAGAAAACUCCCCUCAGAUAAUCACUGUUCUUAGUCAAAUAUCUAGAAAAGCACAUUUUAAGUGGGACUACUCUACUACUCUUCUCAAUUCACUGUAUUUUACUACUCUCAUCACCAAUGGGAACCUUCGACACGGCUGGCUAGCCUAUCUUCCGAAGGAGCAUCUUCCAGAGUGAGCAACAGUAGAAGACGGGGGAGGGGGGAACCCAUUAGGACAAUCAGAGCCUUACAAGGGUGUCGCUGAAAGGCCCAACACCCUUACUAACAAGGCCUCAUUCCGACAGAGAAACGGCGAACGAAGGUAUUCACACGUAAAUACAUUCAUGAUUUCUUACUCCAAACGGGAGAAUAGUUUCUAAAAUGUAUCAAAGAUAAUUGUCUUUUUCUCUCUCUCUCAACCUCCCUCUCCAUAUCCUUUUGUAAAAAGCAAACCAUAUUGUGUCAGUCCGCUAGGGACCUUUUCCUAAUGUAUUAACUGUGUAUGUUAUUCUGUGUUAUCAUU